ensembl:rRNA 5S_rRNA 5S ribosomal RNA
GCUUACGGCCAUACCACUCUGAGCGUGCCUGAUCUCGUCUGAUCUCGGAAGCUAAGCAGGGUAGGGCCUGGUUAGUACUUGGAUGGGAGACCGCCUGGGAAUACCAGGUGCUGUAAGCU